GCUAGCGUAGCUUAAACUAAAGCAUGACACUGAAGAUGUUAAGAUGAAUCCCAAUAAUAUUCCGCAGGCA
rnacentral:tRNA from 1 species